UACGUAGGGUGCGAGCGUUGUCCGGAAUUAUUGGGCGUAAAGAGCUCGUAGGCGGUGUGUCACGUCGGCCGUGAAAACCUGCAGCUUAACUGUGGGCGUGCGGUCAAUACGGGCAUCACUGGAGUUCGGCAGGGGAGACUGGAAUUCCUGGUGUAGCGGUGAAAUGCGCAGAUAUCAGGAGGAACACCGGUGGCGAAGGCGGGUCUCUGGGCCGAUACUGACGCUGAGGAGCGAAAGCGUGGGGAGCAAACAGG
rnacentral:rRNA from 1 species